ACAGCUACUCAGCCUUUUGGCUAAGAUCAAGCGAGAUAGCUGCUGUUAUCAAUUUAAUGUUUGAUAUACCUCCACUUAAUGGGAAAUGCAUUACAGAGGCAGCAUUUCCUAGUGCAU
rnacentral:snRNA from 1 species